UUUACAGGGGUUAUGUGCUGCCUGGUGAAGUUCAUGUCUGAGCAACCCCUCUUCUGAAGGAGACUCCAAAAAAACAGUUUGUUUCUGGCAGCUGCCCCUUUCUGAAGUUGUGUCUUCUGGGUCAGAGAUGAAAGGAGCUGGCUGUAACCCUGUGCAACUGAAACCCUUUUUCCGAAGGCCUGGACCUGAGUCAACUGAACUUCUCCAGUGUGUGGUGAUCAUUGAAUUGGACUUGGAGACAUGAAAAAAGCUGCUGGAAAACUUGGAGCUGGCUCUGAAUUGCCAUUCAAGCAAUUUGUGUUAAAAAAGGCUGCCAGCUCAAGGAGAUGGUGGAAAAUGAGCCAAAAGCAUGGUGUGAGUCAAGAGGCACUGAAGUGCUGCCAAGCAUCGAUUCCCACCGUGGCAGGAAGGACUCCCUCCCGGGGUGGUGAAUUCCAAAGGAAUGGCUCUGUGGUGGCUGGCACCGGCUGCAGCAGGAAAGUCACACCGAGACAGGAACAGGGCAGCAGGUAA
rnacentral:lncRNA from 1 species